rnacentral:rRNA from 4 species
GGACGGGUGAGUAAUGUCUGGGAAACUGCCUGAUGGAGGGGGAUAACUACUGGAAACGGUGGCUAAUACCGCAUAACGUCGCAAGACCAAAGAGGGGGACCUUCGGGCCUCUUGCCAUCAGAUGUGCCCAGAUGGGAUUAGCUUGUUGGUGAGGUAACGGCUCACCAAGGCGACGAUCCCUAGCUGGUCUGAGAGGAUGACCAGCCACACUGGAACUGAGACACGGUCCAGACUCCUACGGGAGGCAGCAGUGGGGAAUAUUGCACAAUGGGCGCAAGCCUGAUGCAGCCAUGCCGCGUGUAUGAAGAAGGCCUUCGGGUUGUAAAGUACUUUCAGCGGGGAGGAAGGUGUUGUGGUUAAUAACCGCAGCAAUUGACGUUACCCGCAGAAGAAGCACCGGCUAACUCCGUGCCAGCAGCCGCGGUAAUACGGAGGGUGCAAGCGUUAAUCGGAAUUACUGGGCGUAAAGCGCACGCAGGCGGUCUGUCAAGUCGGAUGUGAAAUCCCCGGGCUCAACCUGGGAACUGCAUUCGAAACUGGCAGGCUUGAGUCUUGUAGAGGGGGGUAGAAUUCCAGGUGUAGCGGUGAAAUGCGUAGAGAUCUGGAGGAAUACCGGUGGCGAAGGCGGCCCCCUGGACAAAGACUGACGCUCAGGUGCGAAAGCGUGGGGAGCAAACAGGAUUAGAUACCCUGGUAGUCCACGCCGUAAACGAUGUCUACUUGGAGGUUGUGCCCUUGAGGCGUGGCUUCCGGAGCUAACGCGUUAAGUAGACCGCCUGGGGAGUACGGCCGCAAGGUUAAAACUCAAAUGAAUUGACGGGGGCCCGCACAAGCGGUGGAGCAUGUGGUUUAAUUCGAUGCAACGCGAAGAACCUUACCUGGUCUUGACAUCCACAGAACUUUCCAGAGAUGGAUUGGUGCCUUCGGGAACUGUGAGACAGGUGCUGCAUGGCUGUCGUCAGCUCGUGUUGUGAAAUGUUGGGUUAAGUCCCGCAACGAGCGCAACCCUUAUCCUUUGUUGCCAGCGGUCCGGCCGGGAACUCAAAGGAGACUGCCAGUGAUAAACUGGAGGAAGGUGGGGAUGACGUCAAGUCAUCAUGGCCCUUACGACCAGGGCUACACACGUGCUACAAUGGCGCAUACAAAGAGAAGCGACCUCGCGAGAGCAAGCGGACCUCAUAAAGUGCGUCGUAGUCCGGAUUGGAGUCUGCAACUCGACUCCAUGAAGUCGGAAUCGCUAGUAAUCGUGGAUCAGAAUGCCACGGUGAAUACGUUCCCGGGCCUUGUACACACCGCCCGUCACACCAUGGGAGUGGGUUGCAAAAGAAGUAGGUAGCUUAACCUUCGGGGGGGCGCUUACCACUUUGUGAUUCAUGACUGGGGUGAAGUCGUAACAAGGUAACCGUAGGGGAACCUGCGGUUGGAUCACCUCCUUACCUUAAAGAAGC